GAUGAACGCUGGCGGCGUGCCUAAUACAUGCAAGUCGAGCGAACAGACGAGGAGCUUGCUCCUCUGACGUUAGCGGCGGACGGGUGAGUAACACGUGGAUAACCUACCUAUAAGACUGGGAUAACUUCGGGAAACCGGAGCUAAUACCGGAUGAUAUAUUGAACCGCAUGGUUCAAUAGUGAAAGACGGUUUUGCUGUCACUUAUAGAUGGAUCCGCGCCGCAUUAGCUAGUUGGUAAGGUAACGGCUUACCAAGGCAACGAUGCGUAGCCGACCUGAGAGGGUGAUCGGCCACACUGGAACUGAGACACGGUCCAGACUACUACGGGAGGCAGCAGUAGGGAAUCUUCCGCAAUGGGCGAAAGCCUGACGGAGCAACGCCGCGUGAGUGAUGAAGGUCUUCGGAUCGUAAAACUCUGUUAUUAGGGAAGAACAAAUGUGUAAGUAACUAUGCACGUCUUGACGGUACCUAAUCAGAAAGCCACGGCUAACUACGUG
rnacentral:rRNA from 1 species